rnacentral:rRNA from 1 species
UUAUGGGUGGCGAGUGGCGGACGGGUGAGGAAUACAUCGGAAUCUACCUUUUCGUGGGGGAUAACGUAGGGAAACUUACGCUAAUACCGCAUACGACCUUCGGGUGAAAGCAGGGGACCUUCGGGCCUUGCGCGGAUAGAUGAGCCGAUGUCGGAUUAGCUAGUUGGCGGGGUAAAGGCCCACCAAGGCGACGAUCCGUAGCUGGUCUGAGAGGAUGAUCAGCCACACUGGAACUGAGACACGGUCCAGACUCCUACGGGAGGCAGCAGUGGGGAAUAUUGGACAAUGGGCGCAAGCCUGAUCCAGCCAUACCGCGUGGGUGAAGAAGGCCUUCGGGUUGUAAAGCCCUUUUGUUGGGAAAGAAAAGCAAUCGAUUAAUACUCGGUUGU